rnacentral:lncRNA from 12 species
AUUUAACACACCCGGCACACGCCGCUGCCUGGCUGAACAGGUGCAGCGCCGCCGCAUCCCUGCUGGCCCGCCCCGAAGGUGGCCAAUCCUCUGCUCCCGCGCGGGCGGGCGGCGGGGAGGCAGCGCCCUCCUCCCCUCUCCGGCGCCCCUUUCCGCCCCCGGGCGCGGGAGGAGGACCGCGCGGAGCUUGGAAACCAACCCUCCCCCACAUCCACCCCUGGCCUGGGGCUCCUCCCGCCCCUGGGUGGCGGGUCCUCUCGGCCCCACUUCCACCGACAGUCACAGCAGCGGUCACGCCUGCGGCGGCCAGAGCCUCCCACGCGCCCUCACUGGAUGUGAAAAGUUAAUUCAGAGCUAAGCCUCUCCCAUGAAGAACUGGACCCAGUGCUCUCGUGAACCUGUCCUCCCAGCGGUGAUCUCCUCGCAGAAAGUCACAUCCUCCACUCAGGCCCUGAUGCUCUCCCCACCUCCCCGGGGUUUUUGUAGCUGAGCUGCCCACUGAUCCUCAGACUGUCCUUGCCACGAUGCCUGGCUUGUGGGACCUGCCACCAUCGCUUGAAAGCAGAUGAUGAGCACGCGCACAUAUUCUCUGCUUCAUUGUAACCCCGUGAGGAGUGGGACAUAAGGACCCAGAAGCACACAGAGGCACCACACUUACCAGGGUGAAAGCUCCAGCACUAUAGUCCUACACUGGAAUUCCCAUCUGUUGACUCUAAAGGUGGUGAGUCGCUAUUAUGUAUGACAUAGGAAAGCAGGUAGGUGUGCAGACUCCGGGCAAAACCUGCUUGAAUCCUGGUUCUGUGACCUGUGGGAAACUAUUUAACAUCUCUGUUCCUCAGUGUCUUCAUCUGGAAAAUGAGGAUCAUGAUCAUCCUUACCUCCCAGUGCUUUGGUGGGGGUGAAUGAUGUGAGUUAGUAUGUGUAACAUGUCUAGAAGAGCUUUUCCAGAAACACAUAACGCCUCAGCCCUGAUCUGCUCUCGUCUCCUCCAUCUCCCCUUAGUCCUCUGACUUUAAAAUAUAUAUAUAUUUUAUUCAUUUAUUCAUGAGAGACAGAGAGAGGCAGAGGGAGAAGCAGGCUCCCUGGGGGGAUCCCGAUGCAGAACUCGAUCCCAGGACCCCUGAUCAUGACCUGAGCCGAAGGCAGACGUUUAGCUGUUUAGCCACCCAGGCGCCCCUUAUUCCCCUGACUUAAUGCCACACCACGUUGUUGCUCUUGAUCGAAUGUGACAGUGCGCCUCCUCCUUUUGGGGCCCUGAAACCCACACUGUCCACCCUGUUUGGAGUGGGCUUUCCUACGUCCACCUGGCUCACCCCCUUAGGUCUAUGCUCAAAUGUCAUGCUUUACCUGGCCACCAC